rnacentral:rRNA from 1 species
UGAUUUCACACUGCCGAGAAAAGCCUCUAGAUAGAAAAUAGGUGCCCGUACCGCAAACCGACACAGGUAGUCAAGAUGAGAAUUCUAAGGUGAGCGAGCGAACUCUCGUUAAGGAACUCGGCAAAAUGACCCCGUAACUUCGGGAGAAGGGGUGCUCUUUAGGGUUAACGCCCAGAAGAGCCGCAGUGAAUAGGCCCAAGCGACUGUUUAUCAAAAACACAGGUCUCUGCUAAACCGUAAGGUGAUGUAUAGGGGCUGACGCCUGCCCGGUGCUGGAAGGUUAAGAGGAGUGGUUAGCUUCUGCGAAGCUACGAAUCGAAGCCCCAGUAAACGGCGGCCGUAACUAUAACGGUCCUAAGGUAGCGAAAUUCCUUGUCGGGUAAGUUCCGACCCGCACGAAAGGCGUAACGAUUUGGGCACUGUCUCAACGAGAGACUCGGUGAAAUCAUAGUACCUGUGAAGAUGCAGGUUACCCGCGACAGGACGGAAAGACCCCGUGGAGCUUUACUGUAGCCUGAUAUUGAAAUUCGGCACAGCUUGUACAGGAUAGGUAGGAGCCUUUGAAACGUGAGCGCUAGCUUACGUGGAGGCGCUGGUGGGAUACUACCCUAGCUGUGUUGGCUUUCUAACCCGCACCACUUAUCGUGGUGGGAGACAGUGUCAGGCGGGCAGUUUGACUGGGGCGGUCGCCUCCUAAAAGGUAACGGAGGCGCUCAAAGGUUCCCUCAGAAUGGUUGGAAAUCAUUCAUAGAGUGUAAAGGCAUAAGGGAGCUUGACUGCGAGACCUACAAGUCGAGCAGGGUCGAAAGACGGACUUAGUGAUCCGGUGGUUCCGCAUGGAAGGGCCAUCGCUCAACGGAUAAAAGCUACCCCGGGGAUAACAGGCUUAUCUCCCCCAAGAGUUCACAUCGACGGGGAGGUUUGGCACCUCGAUGUCGGCUCAUCGCAUCCUGGGGCUGUAGUCGGUCCCAAGGGUUGGGCUGUUCGCCCAUUAAAGCGGUACGCGAGCUGGGUUCAGAACGUCGUGAGACAGUUCGGUCCCUAUCCGUCGUGGGCGUAGGAAAUUUGAGAGGAGCUGUCCUUAGUACGAGAGGACCGGGAUGGACAUACCUCUGGUGUACCAGUUGUCGUGCCAACGGCAUAGCUGGGUAGCUAUGUGUGGACGGGAUAAGUGCUGAAAGCAUCUAAGCAUGAAGCCCCCCUCAAGAUGAGAUUUCCCAACUUCGGUUAUAAGAUCCCUCAAAGAUGAUGAGGUUAAUAGGUUCGAGGUGGAAGCAUGGUGACAUGUGGAGCUGACGAAUACUAAUCGAUCGAAGACUUAAUCAA